UCUACUCCUGUAUGGGGAAAGCUUAUUUUUAUCCUUUAACUUCAUACAUUAGAGGCCUCCUUCCACACCAUCACUGCCCUUGGCUCUGGGGCCUCUGCAGCUAGAGAAGGCUCUUCCUGCCACAGGACAACAGGAGAAAUGAUCUUUAUGAGUUGAUCAGUGCACUGUCUUGGAGAAAUAGAGGAGGAAAACAUUGAAAUGAAAGGUGUUGAGCUUCUAAAAGAAAGCUGAAGUCAUCAAGUAAAUUCAAAUGCUGCAACAUAGCAGAGUGCAUACUGGAUCACUCCAAAGGUCAAAAUAGUUUCUCUUUUCAUCUCCUUGACAAUUGUCAGUAGCAAUUGCCUGGAGAAAGAAUAUUAGACAAGUAUAAACAGACUGCGUAUCUCCCCCAGCAUGUCCUCCUUGCAGCCUGUGGCUGAGGAUGUUUCUGUGCCCAAGGCCAUGUCACUGAGUUUUUUCAUACAAACACAUAUAAACUUCUGGCAUACACAGAAUCCUGAGGCACUGAGCUUCAAAGAUUAACUCUCUGUUCUUGGAAAGGGAAAGGAAAGAAAGAAAGGUCUUUUGUAAGAAGAGGAUAAAUUGAAAGACAUGUUGCUGUUCCUGUGCACCUGAGCCCUGAGGUGCCCUUUACUCCUUGCUCUACCCCUGCAGUGAAGCCAUCAGUUCUGUGUUUCCACAUAAAACCUGGCCAGCUCCUAUCCCAUUUUAUUUCUAAGAAUCAGUAAGUGUCCAGGUGAAAAUUACAUAAAACUCACGAGUUUCAAGCUGCUGUAGAAGUUCUCCAAAUUUCCAGGAAAAGAGGUGAAGAUAAAAGGAAGGGAAGACAGACUGGGAAGGAGAGUAAAGGGACAAUGCACACAAAAAGGAGGAAAGAAGAGAUGUGUAUCAUUGCUUUUCAUCUUAGUGGCUUUGUCACCAGGCUGGCACGCUCAUGCAUUGUAAUGCACUUUUCAAGUUACAGGGUGGUUUGAAGCCAUGUCUGGUAUCAGAGAUGGAAGAGAAAGUAUCAAGCUGUCUGCCUUCUGCCCUGAAAUUCAGUCCUUGCCUUGGCUGUAAGCCACUAAAGCACAAUUAAAAUAGCAUGAACAGGACGUGUCACUGAAAUGAAGAUCACAGUGUUCCCUCGGACCCUCUGGUGGUGCCCUGCGGAGGCCCCGUGACAGAAGGUGAGCCCAGGGUAUGGCUUGCAUCCCUUGGGCACUGAGGUACAGGAAAAAGGCUUUACAAGCAUAGCCAGGAAUUUAUGGCAGGAGCAGAUGAGGAGACAAAAACAAGAAUAUAAAGCAAGUGACAGAACUGGAGACAAGACAAUUACAAGUAAAUUGUCUCUUCUCUCCCUCUUUUUCCAGCAAUUUAGUACUAAGAACAGGCUCAGCAUUGUCAGCAGUAAAGAAAUGUUCUCUGUCUCCAAGCCAUUCACUAUGCCUUCAGUAAAUCAGCAAUUUGACAAUCAUCACAACAGCAGAAACCUUCCUUUGCAUUGGCACUGCUGUGUGGACUAUAUGAGCUGAUGGAGCCACGCUGUGGAACUGCACAUCCAGGGCCUAAGCUAAACCCUUCCACUGUGCAGUUCCAGUCCUUGUUGUUGGGAGACUGAGGCCACUCAGAAAAGAUUUUGGAAGACACUUUUUUUUUUAAACAAUCCUCGAAACUUCAUCAGCCUCAAGGCACCUGAGAGGGCACAGCCCAUCUCCCUAGCUGGUAUGAUGGCUUAUCCUCCCUCCAUUUAUGGAGUCUUUCUGUAGAAAACCAUGUUGAACUGAAUUGCCCUGGCUCAGCAGAAAACCCAUGUUCUCACUCAGUACCUGUUUAAGCAUGAAUAUAAGCCCAUGCACAUGUAAGACCUUUGCUGAGUCACACUAAGUGACAGCAAACUCCUGUGCCAUGAAUUGCAAUGAAAGCCAGAAAAAAAAUGUAAGGGCGCCAUUAACUUGAAAAUCCCACUCCGCCUGCAAAUUGUAUCUGUUCUAAUUAGCGGUAGUGCUGUGACUGAGAGAAAGUAGCAAGGCAUAAAAUGUCUCUCCCCUUAGCCUGAUAAUUGUUCUCUUGAUUGUGCUUUGAGCUCUGUUGUUCUUACUGCUUUAUUUGUUUUUUUCAUGCCUGCUUUGCCUUUGCCUCGUGCAUUAGCAAGAAUUGUAGGAUCCAAGAAUCAUUAAGGUGGGAAAAGACCUCUGAGAUCGUUGAAUCCAGCUAUUAAUCCUGUUCACCACAAAACUGUGUCCCCAGGUUCCAGAUCCACACGUUUUUAUAACCCUUCCAGAGAUGGUGAUUCCACCACUUUUCCGGGCAGCCUGUUCCUAUGCUUGAACACCAUUUCAUUUCCUGGUAUCCAAACCUCCCCUGGUGCAGCUUCAGGACAUUGGGUGGCUUUGCUCUUGCCUGGGGCACUCUCCUUGCCUCAGGCUGUGCAGAAGGACAUGUCCUUGGGUCAGCAGCAGGAGGACUCACACUGCUCUUGCUGGGUUUGGUCUCUGCAGGUGUCUUGCUUUCCCAGUGAAUCCUCUGUGGGCAGGAUAGGAGGAGUGAGCUGGGGAGCCAGCAGGCAUCUUCCACUCCUGAUCAACAGCACCUUUCUCUCCUUUGCCUAUCCACUGGAAGAGGAUUAGAAGUAUUUUUCAGUUUUUGGGUCUCUGAUAAAAAUGAUGGGGAAUGGAAGUUACUUAACUGCCCACUCUAGUGCUGGUAGCCAAGGGUGAGUUCUGGGCCAGGGUAAAACUUGUCUUUCAUCCCUUUGCUGGGGCACUUUCUGGCUUCCCCACACUGUGUCAUCAUGUGGCCCCACAGAGAUUGGUGUUUCUGGCAGAGGAUGGAGAGGGCAGGAAGUUUUCUGACUCUGCUACCUGUUUAAUACCUUCUCAAGCCAUGUUUGCAAGAACUGUAGUGCUUAACACCACGGAGUGAAUGGGUCCUGCUGCAGUCAGAGCAAUAGGAAUGCUCUGAGUUAACCAAUUUUCCCAGCUGUUUCCAGUAUUUCAGCUAUCCUCCAGUCCCAGAUAAGUGCCCUGUGGGUUAUUUGGAGCCUGUUUCCAAGGUUUUCUGCAACUUGGCACCCAACUCUUCCUCCACUGUGCAGCUCCCAGCCUGGGA